rnacentral:rRNA from 1 species
GACGAACCGUGCGAACGUUGUUCGGAAUCACUGGGCUUAAAGGGCGCGUAGGCGGGCUGUCAAGUCUGGGGUGAAAUCCCACGGCUCAACCGUGGAGCUGCCUCGGAUACUGACGGCCUCGAGGGAGGUAGGGGCGUGCGGAACUGUGGGUGGAGCGGUGAAAUGCGUUGAUAUCCACAGGAACUCCGGUGGCGAAGGCGGCACGCUGGACCUCUUCUGACGCUGAGGCGCGAAAGCCAGGGGAGCAAACGGG